UGAACCACUACAUGACAGUGGCCUCUAACUCCAUGACGAUUUCCAUGUCAGACCCCAGCACUGGGGCAGCAGCCAUGAACAGCACAGGGAUGCCUUUGAUAAGCCUGAAUGGACAGCUGCUCACGCCAGCCCAAUCUCAGGCAUACAGACACACUCUCAUCUCUGAAUCUGGCAGGAUUUAUUCACUCUACAAGCCGGGCGCUCUUUACUGAAUUAGCAGAGUAGAGAAGGAACAGCCAGAGAAAACAUGAAUACUGACACAGGAGUCAUGGAACUUUCCUGGACAGGACACUGGAUAGAGGAGGAAACUGGGAGAGAGAGGGGGAUUGGCAUGAAGGGAAGGGGGACGCAGGCUGGAAUCAUUUCCAGGCCGCUAGCUAUAUGGGCAUGCAACUUAACCAUUAGGCCAAGCCAAUGCCCGCGCCUUGCCCUUUCUAUAUACAGCCAUAGUUUAAACUAAAGUACUUGCCUAUCCGGAAACCAAUUAAAGCAAACUGAAACCAUCAAGCCCCAUUUAAUCACAUCUAAUAGACCAUUGUAUUGUCAUCUACUUCUAUUAACUAUUAAUUUAUGGCUUUGAGAAUGUCCAUGUCAAUUACAGACCACAUCCUAUUAUAAAUCCAAUCCAUGAUUAGAAGUUCAAAAUGCCAUAUACAGUAUCAGGUCAUAAAAAGACAAAAUUACAUUGUCUUUAAAUGGACACUUCCUGAUCUAAAUCAUCUCCACCAGGUGUUUCCAAAAGCAGCAUAAUGAAGUGUAGCAUUGGUGGCAGAACAAAGCUCUUCACCUGCCAGCUAAUUAGUAAUAAUCCCCCCAGAAAGUGUAUUUUCAUUUUGAAAGAUAUUUAAAUGUUCUGCAUGCUGCCAGCUAUAAAGCAAACCUCAAUUUGGUUUCAUGCAUCAUUACACUUAUUUUCUUUGUGCUUCUUGUUUUCUUAUGCAACUCAUUCACAUGUAUCACUAUAGUCAUUUGUCAUGCUCAUAUCAGGAAUAGAACAGUUUUCCAGCCUUGUGUACCGUGAGCUUUAACUUAGCCUUAAGCUAAAUUAUUAAAUCAUUGAGAGCCCUUGAAAGGUUGGAUGUGGUUUUCUGAAGUUUGACAAACUGUAAUGUGUAGUUUGGUUUAUAAUAUCCCUGUUAACCUUAGUUGAAACCACUUUUCCUGUUCACAGAUGUAAAGAAUGUAUUGAUUCAAGAGGUGGAGUUCAGCACUUACCUGCUCUGCUGCACUGUGAGGUGCUCAGCUGGAGCGGGUUAAGUUUGAAUCAGAUCUUGAUUCUGAAGCUACACGUUCACACCAGCUGCCAUUUAGUAAAUAAUUACGUUAAAUCAGUUUGUCUCUACUUUAUUAUUCACUGCAAAUGAGAGAUUCUGUUAACUCACAGCACUGCAGGACAACAAGGGCAUUUAUGAUAGGUUCUCAUUUGAGAAAUUGAUGUUUCUAUUACAAGCAAUAAGAGCAUUGAUUGGCUGGUUUGGACUCUGAUUAGAAAGGUUAUUGGAUUGAGGCCACAGAGCAGCUGCUGAUAAGACUACAGAGGAUAUGUGGGGGAAUUAUCUCUGCAUAGCUCUUGCUGUUUAAUGCAUAUAAACACAUCAUUUUAUAGUUUAAUGGACAAAAAUGUUCAUAAGAGAAUAUUCUUCUCAUUCACUCUGCUGUGUUAGCUUUACAAGCAUACUAAAACAUGAACAUUCACACCAAAACAUGACUUCACACUCUGGUUUAAGAUUUAUUGCAGUAAUAAUUGAGAGAUUGUUUCAAUUGACUGAAGUU